AACUCUCUGCCCAGAAUCAUUAGUCGCAAAAGUACCCUCGAACGAGACACAAAAAAAUAAAUUCUACCAAAUAUUUUAGGCCAACAAUUUUUCAAUAGUGAAAGGAAAAGAGUUGUCAGGUACAAAACAUUAUCUAGUUUAGAGUCAGAGUUUAGAGUUUAGAAAGUGUACCUUAUAGAGCAAGAACUUCAUCGUAAUAUCAUUAGGUUUCUCUGUGGAUCAUUUAAUCCAUUUCCAGUUACUAUCAAGUUUAAAAAUAUUAAAAAAUACUGAAGUUUUCAAAAGGGAUAAGCAUUUCCAAUUCUAAAGUACAGAAGAUCAAGAGCAUCUUGGAUAUUGGGUAUUGAGUCCUUCUAACAUCUAAGACCUUGCGUUGGACAGGAUAUAGAGAAGGAGGGCUCACUGGAGUUGCUGAUCAACUCUCCUAAGAAUAUUUAUCAAGAAUAAUUCAAAAAUAUUGAAUUGAAUUGAAGAACUGCCAUAGAACUCUAUAGAGAACCUACUCUGUGCUUGCCAACCUUGUACUUCUGACAAGAAAGCAAAACCCUUUUGCAGAAUAUAUAUUUAAAAUAUUAUAGAUAUUUUUAUUUUUUGAGACAGAUUUAGGUUUCCUUUCAAAAGUUCCAACUUUAAGUCUUCAUAACAUUCAAGAUUUCCAAAGAGUUUUGAUCAUUUAGGGUGUUAAGUGUUAGCUGAAGAAGUUCAAGUUAAGAUAGUUUAGAGUAUGCCUCCAAGAAAGACAUCCAAAGACAAUAGAAUGGCGAGGAAGGUCAAGAAGAAGUUAUUUUCCAGCAAGGGCUGUCUCUGGAUACUGGUUGUACUGUAAGAUUGUAUCUUUAGAACUAAGUCGAAAUUUCGGUAGCUCGUCCGGAUUAGAAACCCCAUCCAGAACAAUCUUACCAUUUCUUGGAAUAAAAAGCGAGCAUCACUUCUGGACUGGAACCACAUUUCAAGAACUAAAUUCUGCUGUGGAGCAUCCUUUUCUAAUUUUUCACACAAGUCCAAGAAAUGUAAACCAAAAGAAUAAACACUACGUGGCAGAGCAAA
rnacentral:sRNA from 1 species